rnacentral:rRNA from 1 species
CAUGCAAGUCGAGCGGCAGCGCGGGGGCAACCCUGGCGGCGAGCGGCGGACGGGUGAGCAAUAUUUGGGAAUCUGCCUAUUAGUGGGGGACAACCCGGGGAAACUCGGGCUAAUACCGCAUACGCACUACGGUGGAAAGCCGGGGACCGCAAGGCCUGGCGCUAAUAGAUGAGCCCAAAUCGGAUUAGCUAGUUGGUGAGGUAAUGGCUCACCAAGGCUACGAUCCGUAGCUGGUCUGAGAGGACGACCAGCCACACCGGAACUGAGACACGGUCCGGACUCCUACGGGAGGCAGCAGUGGGGAAUAUUGGACAAUGGGCGAAAGCCUGAUCCAGCGACGCCGCGUGGGUGAAGAAGGCCUGCGGGUUGUAAAGCCCUUUCGGUGGGGAAGAAAAGCCUCGACCUAACACGUCGGGGUCUUGACGUAACCCAUAGAAGAAGCACCGGCUAACUCUGUGCCAGCAGCCGCGGUAAUACAGAGGGUGCGAGCGUUAAUCGGAAUUACUGGGCGUAAAGCGCGCGUAGGCGGCUUUGCAAGUCGGGUGUGAAAUCCCCAGGCUUAACCUGGGAACUGCAUUCGAGACUGCAUUGCUAGAGUAUGGGAGAGGGAAGUGGAAUUUCCGGUGUAGCGGUGAAAUGCGUAGAUAUCGGAAGGAACAUCAGUGGCGAAAGCGACUUCCUGGACCAAUACUGACGCUCA